rnacentral:rRNA from 1 species
GACGAACGCUAGCGGCGUGCCUAAGGUAUGCAAGUCGAACGGAGAGCUUCGGCUCUCAGUGGCGAACGGUCGAGUAACACGUAGACAACCUGCCCUUUAGUGGGGGAUAACAGCGGGAAACUGCUGCUAAUACCGCAUGUGGCCUGGAGGAGCAUUCCUUCAACGCCAAAGGAUUUAUUCGCUAAAGGAUGGGUCUGCGGCCUAUCAGCUAGCUGGUGAGGUAACGGCNCACCAGGGCGACGACGGGUAGCGGGUCUGAGAGGAUGAUCCGCCGGAUGGGGACUGAGACACCGGCCCCAACUCC